ACAUGCUGUGUCCCACUUUGUCCUCGGAGCCGGGCUCGGGGGUGGUGCCUUGGUGCCCACAGUCCUCCCUCCCCUUUCUUCUCCUCAUCCUUCUGCUUUGUUCUUAUCUCCCUUUCUCCUUCCCCUCUUUCUCUUCUCUCUCCAUCUCUUUCUGUCUCCCCCACUUCUCCAUACUGCAUUCAUUCCAGUGCAUGCUUCCUUAGGAAGGUCCCUACCCCCACCUAUCCUUUUAUAUGUAUAUUUGGGACAUACUGAGGAAGGACCCUUGUUGCAAGCGCUCUUUGCUAGCAGGAUAAGGUGACACCAGGAUAAGGUGACACGUUUAAUCUGGGCCUGCAUUUGGGAAAAGGAGGCAGAGACCCACCCACGGUCCCAGUUUCUGUGUGGGUGGCUGAGGAGGAGCCUUGCUUGACCAUCAGUUGGAUGCCACGACACCCAGAGCCCCUGUUUCCUGCCUUCUCUUGGGGCCUCACCUUUGUGUUAUGACCCUGAGGUUGAGAAACACUGGUAUGGGUAAAAUGGAAACUUUAGGAAUUCCCACCGAGACUCUAGGAUGCCAUCUGGGACACCAGUACAAGGACCCCCCAUAAAGUCAGGACCAUGAGUGUUCCCCCUAAGUUCAUGCUUUGACAAAGCCCUCCCAUUAAAGGAGGAUCCCAGAGCUUUGUGCUUUAGCAAGGUGAAGCCAAAUGAAAAGGCAGGGAGGGCCCUGCUGGGUGGUUCCUGGUUCCCCUCACAGCGCAUCAUACAGAUUGGUAGGCUGAGGUGUGGAGAGACGCUUAGUUGCAGGUCUGAGCCACCACUGAGUCUGGGUCUGUAUUCUUACCUGCCUACUAUGUGAGCCUGGAACCUUUUAGGAUGGUAGCAUGUAGCCCUGAGGUCCCGGUUGCGGAUGAGGGAAUCGUACCAGGAAUGGGGCAAUGCCUUAGCCCCCAGCUCAGCCUUUACCAUGAACCCCAAUUUCCAGGCCAAGCUGGCUUCCCUGGUCCACAAGUGCCAGGAGAGGAACCGCCUGAUUGAGCACCUACUGCAGGAGCUGCCAAGGCACGAGCCCAGGAACCGUCUGCUCUCUGAGCUGGCAGAGAACAUGCUUGGGGAUGUGGCCCUGGCUGAGUAUAGCGCCACCUUCCUGACCCCAGGAGCACCCGAGACGUUCUGCCACCUGGAUGUGAGCUCCAAGGAGACCUCAGCCGGAGGAGGUCAGUGCACCUGCCAGAAACCUUUCUGUUUGUUCAGCAGAAGCCAGGGCCGGGUGGGGUGGGUGCAAACUGCCCAAUGUCAAGCUUGUACCAUGAAGGGGACUUCCUCUCUCUCCUUCUCUUUCUGCUGCUCAGCCCUGUCUUACCACCACAUAGCAUCAGAACAUACU
rnacentral:lncRNA from 1 species